rnacentral:misc_RNA from 1 species
UGUAUACAUUGCUACGUGUUAAAAAAUUGCUUGCUGGGUUAGAGCGUCACCCACAAUUCCUAACACGAGACAACAAGAGAGAGAAGUAAAAAAAUCCUACAGAAACUUAAUUAAUUUUUUUUUUAAACUCACAAAAUCAACUACACUAAAGCAAAGCUAUUACCUAAGAACUACAACGACUCACCCACAACAAAUCGCAACUAGAUCCCAAGACGGCGAGAGAAUCCAAUCCAAAAA